rnacentral:sRNA from 1 species
GCCAGGCAUGGUGGCUUGCGCCUGUAAUCCCAGCUACUCGGGGAGGCUGAGGCAGGAGAAUCACUUGAACCUGGGAGGCAGAGGUUGCAGUGAGCCGAGAUUGCGCCAGUGCACUCUAGCCUAGGUGACAGAGCAAGACUGUGUCUCAAAAAAAAAAAAAACAAAAAAAGUUUUUUUUGUUUUGUUUUUUUUUAAAGAAAAGAGGCUGGGUGCGGUGGCUCAUGCCUGUAAUUCCAGCACUUUAGGAGGCUGAGACGGGCAGAUCACCUGAAGUCAGGAGCUGGAGACCAGCCUGGCCAACAUGGCGAAAUCCCGUCUCU